rnacentral:rRNA from 1 species
GAUGAACGCUGACAGAAUGCUUAACACAUGCAAGUCUUUGGUGAAGCUGUGCUUGCACCGCCUAGCCAAGGCGGACGGGUGAGUAACGCGUAAGGAACUUGCCCUGCAGUCAGGGAUAACAGACGGAAACGACUGAUAAGACCUGGUAAAGUCAGGCGGACUCAUGUCCAGCCUGAUGAAAAGAGAUGCUGCAGGAGAGCCUUGCGUCCUAUUAGCUUGUUGGUGGGGUAACGGCCCACCAAGGCAAUGAUAGGUAGCCGGCCUGAGAGGGUGGACGGCCACAAGGGGACUGAGAUACGGCCCUUACUCCUACGGGAGGCAGCAGUGGGGAAUAUUGGACAAUGGGGGCAACCCUGAUCCAGCAAUUCUGUGUGCACGAUGAAGGUUUUCGGAGUGUAAAGUGCUUUCAGCAGGGAAGAAAAAAAUGACGGUACCUGCAGAAGAAGCGACGGCUAAAUACGUG